GUGCUUGCUUCGGCAGCACAUAUGCUAAAAUUGGAACGAUACAGAAAAGAUUAGCAUGGCCCCUGAGCAAGGAUGACAUGCAAAUUCGUGAAGUGUUCCAUAGUUUU
ensembl:snRNA U6 U6 spliceosomal RNA